CCUCUCCUCUCGUCAUCCUGGGGCCGUGCCUCAGGCACUCAGCUCUUUCCUAGACUGUUGGGAUCGCCUCCGUGUCUGUCUCCGCUCAUCCUUCGUUUGCCUCUGGGACCAGAGCCGGGAGGAGAGCAGGAGUGGGAGGCCCGCCUGGUGCCCGGGACGCGGGGCCGAGGUGGGGAUGGCCGCAGGCCCAGGCCCCGGACGCAGAGGCUCCGGCGGGGCACCGCCCAUCGGCUCCUUCGUUGUUCGGUUCACUAGUCAGGCCGCGUCUCGAGCGCCUGACACCCACACCCGGUGGUGGCUGAGCAGGAAGAGACCCUUGGCCGGGAUGAGCGUUCGUUCCACUGGCGGAGCCCCCCCCAGCAACUGGCAGGAGGAUGCGAGGGGGGAGGCGCCUGGAGGCCGAGAAGGCAGAUGCUUUUAACCUCUGAGCCGCCAGGGAAGCUGAAGAGCAUCUCAGGCCCUCUGUGCCUACAGCCAGAUCGUAGAUGAAGAGCGUCUCAGGCCCUCUGUGCCUACAGCCAGAUCGUAGAUGAAGAGCGUCUCAGGCCCUCUGUGCCUACAGCCAGAUCGUAGAUGAAGAGUGUCUCAGGCCCUCUGUGCCUACAGCCAGAUCGUAGAUGAAGAGCGUCUCAGGCCCUCUGUGCCUACAGCCAGAUCGUAGAUGAAGAGCGUCUCAGGCCCUCUGUGCCUACAGCCAGAUCGUAGAUGAAGAGCGUCUGAUACUUAGACGGUCGCUGUCUCUCUAGUGGCCCCGGGCCAGCCUUUCUCAGGAAAGUGCCCUUCGCAGGGUCUCAGACUGAGUUCAUCACCAGAAACCCCCAAGGGCUGUGCCCCACCCUCAGAGUUUUCAAGCUGGUGUGUCUGUGAAGGGUCGUUAAGGAAAGGUUGUUAAGGUAAGGCUUCAUUCAAGAGGGCACUUCUGCUGAGCCGGUGCCCAGUUGGAUCUCAGCAGAACUCAGCUCCAUCCGCACAGCCGGCUCUGCACCCUCUGCCCGCCUCCCCUUUCUCUCUCUCGCUCAGCCCUCUCUGCACCCAAGUCUUCUCAGGCUCUGCCCUGGGGAAAAGUCCACACUAGGACGCAGACUACUCAAUAUCACUCAGAUGCAGAGGAAGUAGAGUGCAAAAGUGGCUCAAAGCCCUGAGAAGCGCCGCAGUGCUUAAAGGACUGAGGGCGGAGCUGCAACGGCGGAGCAGGCAUUCUCUCCUCCUUCCAAGGGAGAAAAACGGAGAGCAAUUGCUCUAAAUUCUGCGGAAGGCUCUCUGUCGCCGCUUUUCCCAUGGCAGGCUCACACCCCAAACCCUGCUCCUUGGGCUCAGACUCACCUCACAGCCUAGCUCCCGAGCAGCGACUUCUGAUGAGCCGAACCCUCGACCCUGCACUGCCUUCGACAGCAACAUCGCCCGCAGCGGCCUCCUCCUGGAAACGUGCCCUGCUCCGGACACAGGCUCCGCGGUCUCUGCACCUCGUUCUUCCUCACGCUGCUCACUUCCUAAAGUGCGGCUCUUCUGUCGCUUUGUCUGAUAAAUAAAAGUUGCUCCC
ensembl:lncRNA